UAAGCAUUGCUUCGCUCUGGUUAACGUGUACAUAUAUUUGGGAAUUGCUCUCUUGUUUCUGUUAUUAUGGUAGCCUUAAGACAGAUAUAUUAUUAAAAUCAUCUCAAUAAUUUCAAUCAGCGAAGUACAACUGUACAUUGGUCUGAAACGGUUCCAUUUUCCAGUGCAUUCAAGUACAGAAUUAGGUACGCAUUACCAAAAUUACGUCCGAGGUGCAAUCAACAGGAUCAAAAUCAAGUUUGAUUGCAAGAUGUGGAUUUACUCUACUGAUUAGUUACGUACACAGAAAACGUAUGAAAACGAAUAAUAAUUGAACUUACGACAGUUUAUUUGAUGAGUAUAGUUUCUAUCUUUGUGAUGUUUACAGUGAAUAGAACACUCUACGUUGCAGAUUCCGUAAUAUUCUGCAAGUCCAAAAUUUCCAUCGUAAGAUUUGCUGAAAGGCCCAAUGCCGCGAUUUUAGUAAAAAAAAACGUAUAAUUCAAAUCUCUAUAUCUUGCCAACGUCAAAAAACCCUGACAGAAAAUUUUCUAGGAUAUAUUGGUUCUGAUUUUGCUGGGGUUGUUCAUUAAAUUCGAUUUUGUCGAAUAAUCAA